rnacentral:tRNA from 1 species
GCCACCUUAGCUCAGCUGGCUAGAGCGCCGCUUUCGUAAAGCGGAGGUCCGGGGUUCGAGUCCCCGAGGUGGCUCCA